AUACAUGCAAGUCGAACGCGAAUCGGUAGCUUGCUACCGAGGAAAGUGGCGGACGGGUGAGUAAUAUGUAGAGAAUCUGCCCUAGAGAGGGGGACAACAGCUGGAAACGGUUGCUAAUACCCCAUAUGAGCGUACCUGAAAUGGUAUUCUUGAAAACUCCGGUGCUCUAGGAUGAGUCUGCAUCUGAUUAGCUAGUUGGGGGUGUAAUGGACCACCAAGGCGACGAUCAGUAGCUGGUUUGAGAGGAUGAUCAGCCACAAUGGGACUGAGACACGGCCCAUACUCCUACGGGAGGCAGCAGUAGGGAAUUUUGCGCAAUGGGCGAAAGCCUGACGCAGCAACGCCGCGUGAUUGAUAAAGCCCUUCGGGGUGUAAAGAUCUGUCAGUGGGGACGAAACUUGACGGUACCCACAGAGGAAGCACCGGCUAACUCCGUGCCAGCAGCCGCGGUAAUACGGAGGGUGCAAGCGUUGUCCGGAAUCAUUGGGCGUAAAGAGUUCGUAGGUGGUUUGUUAAGUUUGGUGUUAAAUGCAGAGGCUCAACUUCUGUUCGGCAUCGGAUACUGGCAGACUAGAAUGCGGUAGAGGUAAAGGGAAUUCCUGGUGUAGCGGUGAAAUGCGUAGAUAUCAGGAGGAACAUCGGUGGCGUAAGCGCUUUACUGGGCCGUAAUUGACACUGAGGAACGAAAGCCAGGGUAGCAAAUGGGAUUAGAUACCCCAGUAGUCCUGGCCGUAAACGAUGGAUACUAGGUGUUGCGGGUAUCGACCCCUGCAGUGCCGUAGCAAACGCGUUAAGUAUCCCGCCUGGGGAGUACGCACGCAAGUGUGAAACUCAAAGGAAU
rnacentral:rRNA from 1 species